UAACAAGAUGCAUACGAUGUGGC
rnacentral:piRNA from 1 species